CAGCAAGCUGCAAGCAAGGUGGAGGAAGACUGGAAGUCUUUCAGAAAUUCUCAAUACUCAUUACAAUUGGGAAAGAGGAGAGAAGAAAGAAAGGCAACAGGCAUGAGAAUUAUCAUUCCCAAUAAGGUCAAGAAGGAAUGGGAGGAAUGGAAAGCCCAUGAUCAUGCCCUACUUAUCAGUCUCUUCUUACAGAUAUGGUUAAUUUUCUUUGCACCAUCACAAAAACAAAGAGGAAACUGAAUUGUAACCUUCAGUAUCCGGUCAGCUUACUUGCUGGAAACAGCUUAUUGUCUUCUAUUUAGUAUCUUGUAAAAAUGAAUUGUCUUACAGCUUGUAGGGUUGAUUCAAGAACAAUGAAUUGCGUACUUCUGUUCCUCUUAUUUCAUGUUUGUGAACAGGACUGGAAAAUUUAAAUUAUUCCAAAAGUCAAGAAAAAUGAAUUUGUUUUUCAUAAA